rnacentral:misc_RNA from 1 species
AUUUUUGGAAGCAUAGGUUCAGUGGGAGGUGGUCUUGCUCUUGGCAAAGAAGGGCCUCUUGUACAUAUUGGUGCUUGUAUUGCUUCUUUGCUUGGACAAGGUGGAUCCACAAAAUAUCACCUUCGGUCAAGGUGGCUCCAAGUUUUUAGCAGUGAACGGGAUCGUCGUGAUUUGGUGACUUGUGGAUGUGCUGCUGGAGUUGCUGCUGCCUUUAGAGCUCCAGUAGGUGGUGUAUUAUUUGCUCUUGAAGAGGUCACUUCUUGGUGGAGGAGUCAACUAAUGUGGCGGGUGUUCUUUACCUCUGCAAUUGUAGCUGUUGUUGUCCGUACUGCAAUGGGAUGGUGUAAAGAUGGAAACUGUGGUCAUUUUGGCGCUGGAGGCUUCAUUAUAUGGGAUAUCUCUGGUGGUCAAGAGGACUAUUCUUUUGAGGAGUUGUUGCCCAUGGCAUUUAUUGGAGUUAUAGGAGGUCUCCUUGGAGCGUUAUUCAAUCAGCUUACUCUCUAUAUGGCACACUGGCGUAGAAAUUAUUUGCACAAGAAUGGAAUUCGUGUGAAAAUUAUUGAAGCUUGUCUCAUCUCUGUGAUAACUUCAGCUAUUUCAUUUGGAUUGCCACUCUUUAGAAGAUGUACUCCGUGCCCUGAAGCCGAUGCUAACUCUGGCAUUGAAUGUCCGCAAGCACCGGGAAUGUUUGGAAAUUAUGUUAAUUUUUACUGUCAGAACAGCAAGGAGUACAAUGACCUCGCAACCAUAUUCUUCAACACUCAGGAUGAUGCUAUAAGAAAUUUAUUCAGUGCGAAGACAGCUCAUGAAUUCAGCGCUCAAGG